UACAGAGGGUGCGAGCGUUAAUCGGAAUUACUGGGCGUAAAGCGUGCGUAGACGGUUAUUUAAGUCGGGUGUGAAAGCCCCGGGCUCAACCUGGGAAUUGCAUUCGAGACUGAAUAGCUAGGGUACGGUAGAGGGAAGCGGAAUUCCCGGUGUAGCGGUGAAAUGCGUAGAUAUCGGAAGGAACAUCAGUGGCGAAAGCGGCUUCCUGGACCAGUACCGACGUUCAGGCACGAAAGCGUGGGGAGCAAACAGG
rnacentral:rRNA from 1 species